ACUCAAAUGAAUUGACGGGGACCCGCACAAGCGGUGGAGCGUGUUGUUUAAUUCGAUGGUAAGCGAAGAACCUUACCCAGGCUUGACAUCCUUGGAAGCACUGCGAAAGCAGAGUGUGCCCUCGGGAGCCAAGUGACAGGUGUUGCAUGGCCGUCGUCAGCUCGUGUCGUGAGAUGUUUGGUUAAGUCCAUCAACGAGCGCAACCCUUUUAGUUAGUUGAAUUUCUCUAGCUAGACUGCCCCGGUAACGGGGAGGAAGGAGGGGAUGAUGUCAGGUCAGUAUUACCCUUACGUCUGGGGCUACAAACACGCUACAAUGGCCGGUACAAAGGGCUGCCAAGUCGCGAGACGGAGCAAAUCCCAUCAAAGCCGGUCUCAGUUCGGAUUGCAGGCUGAAACUCGCCUGCAUGAAGCUGGAAUCGCUAGUAACGGUAAGUCAGCACAUUACCGUGAAUACGUUCCCGGGUCUUGUACACACCGCCCGU
rnacentral:rRNA from 1 species